GGACGGGUGAGUAAUGUCUGGGGAUCUGCCCGAUAGAGGGGGAUAACCACUGGAAACGGUGGCUAAUACCGCAUAACGUCGCAAGACCAAAGAGGGGGACCUUCGGGCCUCUCACUAUCGGAUGAACCCCCAUGGGAUUAGCUAGUAGGCGGGGUAAUGGCCCACCUAGGCGACAAUCCCUAGCUGGUCUGAGAGGAUGACCAGCCACACUGGAACUGAGACACGGUCCAGACUCCUACGGGAGGCAGCAGUGGGGAAUAUUGCACAAUGGGCGCAAGCCUGAUGCAGCCAUGCCGCGUGUAUGAAAAAAGCCUUCGGGUUGUAAAGUACUUUCAGCGGGGAGGAAGGCGACGGGGUUAAUAACCCUGUCGAUUGACGUUACCCGCACAAAAAACACCGGCUAACUCCGUGCCACCAGCCGCGGUAAUACGGAGGGUGCAAGCGUUAAUCGGAAUUACUGGGCGUAAAGCGCACGCACGCGGUCUGUUAAGUCAGAUGUGAAAUCCCCGGGCUUAACCUGGGAACUGCAUUUGAAACUGGCAGGCUUGAGUCUUGUAGAGGGGGGUAGAAUUCCAGGUGUAGCGGUGAAAUGCGUAGAGAUCUGGAGGAAUACCGGUGGCGAAGGCGGCCCCCUGGACAAAGACUGACGCUCAGGUGCGAAAGCGUG
rnacentral:rRNA from 1 species